UGAGUACGAGCUGCUACGGCAGCGAAGUGGGUGACGUCAAGCUUCCAAGAAAAGCCCUAUACCCGUUAAGGCAUGAUGGCCUGUACCCGAAACCGACACAGGUGGGGUGGUAGAGAAUACCGAGGGGCGCGAGAUAACUCUCUCUAAGGAACUCGGCAAAAUGGCCCCGUAACUUCGGGAGAAGGGGUGCCACCGCAAGGUGGUCGCAGUGAAGAGGCCCAGGCGACUGUUUACCAAAAACACAGGUCUCCGCUAAGUCGCAAGACGACGUAUGGGGGCUGACGCCUGCCCAGUGCCGGAAGGUAAAGGAAGCUGGUCAGCGCAAGCGAAGCUAGCGACUGAAGCCCCGGUGAACGGCGGCCGUAACUAUAACGGUCCUAAGGUAGAGAAAUUCCUUGUCGGGUAAGUUCCGACCCGCACGAAAGGCGUAACGAUCUGGGCGCUGUCUCGGAGAGAGGCUCGGCGAAAUAGAAUUGUCUGUGAAGAUGCGGACUACGUGCACCCGGACAGAAAGACCCUAUGAAGCUUUACUGUAGCUUGGUAUUGUGCUCGGGCUCGGAAUGCGCAGGAUAGGUGGGAGGCUAUGAACCAUUGCUUGUGGGUGAUGGUGAGCCACUGGUGAGAUACCACUCUUUCCGAGCUAGAGUUCUAACAGCCACCCGUUAUCCGGGGGCUGGACAGAAUCAGGUGGGCAGUUUGACUGGGGCGGUCGCCUCCUAAAAGGUAACGGAGGCGCGCAAAGGUUUGCUCAGGCUGGUUGGAAAUCAGCCGACGAGUGUAAAAGCAGAAGCAAGCUUGACUGUGAGACCUACAAGUCGAACAGGGAGGAAACUCGGCUUUAGUGAUCCGACGGUUCUGCGUGGAAGGGCCGUCGCUCAACGGAUAAAAGUUACUCUAAGGAUAACAGGCUGAUCUCCCCCAAGAGUUCACAUCGACGGGGAGGUUUGGCACCUCGAUGUCGGCUCAUCGCAACCUGGGGCUGAAGUCGGUCCCAAGGGUUGGGCUGUUCGCCCAUUAAAGCGGUACGCGAGCUGGGUUCAGAACGUCGUGAGACAGUUCGGUCCAUAUCCGGUGCAUGCGCAGGAAUAUUGAGAGGAUUUCUCCCUAGUACGAGAGGACCGGGAGGAACGCACCUCUGGUGUACCAGUUAUCGUGCCAACGGUAAACGCUGGGUAGCCAUGUGCGGAGAGGAUAACCGCUGAAAGCAUCUAAGUGGGAAGCCCACCUCAAGAUGAGUAUUCCCAUGGGUUAACCCAGUAAGGUCACGGGAAGAACACCCGUUGAUAGGCUCUACGUGGAAGCGCAGUAAUGUGUGAAGCGGAGGAGUACUAAUAGACCGAGGGCUUGACC
rnacentral:rRNA from 1 species